rfam:Avibacterium paragallinarum JF4211, WGS project CBMK01000000 data, contig: 15
GUCCCCUUCGUCUAGAGGCCUAGGACAUCGCCCUUUCACGGCGGUAACAGGGGUUCGAAUCCCCUAGGGGACG